GUCCCAGAAUGUUCUAAGGACUGUCAGAUAACCAAACCAUACAAUAACAUUAGGAGAAUAAUAACAAUAUGUUUUCUUGGUUAUCAUCCAUUAAUAAAUUGAGCUUUUUUAAAGCAUAAAUAUCGAGAUACUGAAACCAGCAGUUUUUAUUCAGGUUUGAUUAAACUAAAAGUCUCAUGCUGAGCACAAGUGCAACGUCUUGUCAGUCAUCAGUCCGUGGUAUUUAUUAUAGAACACUCAUUGUUCUUGAGCUGAGUCCAUCACCCUUCAGGCUUUCUAUAAAGAAUAGAGCAGCUAUGGCAACAGCCAUUCCCAAACAUGCCACUGUGCUGCAAGAAUGUAAAAAAUCAGCAGCUACUAAACUGCUCAGAAAUCAAAUCCACGGGAAGAAAAUGUGCCAUGCAUGAGGUGACAGGAGUUUCAACACAACAAAUAGAGAGGAUUACCCUUAUUACAAACCAGAUGGCACUCCAAUCGUGUGGCAGGGAAAAGCCCCCGCAAGAGAAAACAGGACUGGCCAAGCACAGAGAGGUUCUCUUUACCAGCAGGACUUCCCUGCUCCAAAGAAAAUCUACAUCAGGAGAAAUCAGGUUGUACCUCAUCCUGACAACCUGGCGAUCAACACUUCAAUGAGAGCUGAAUACAAAACAGUGCAGCAAGAGGCUUUCCCAGGCUGGGAUGUCUCUGUGCACACACGCCCAACGCCUGUCCGACUCAAAAGAACAGCUGCAGAUGACUGAUGAAGGCCAGAGAAAACCAUCAAAGUGCAUUUAUACACUGGAUGCAUAAAUAACACAAAAAGCUUCUUUAAACCACACAUUUAUGUUAGUCAGCUUUACUUUUGUGUCUUUCAACUGUACUACAUGUAGGGUGUCCAUACGGGCCAUUUUUAUGGGACGCACCCUUGCCAGGAUUUCAAUAUUGCCUAAAAUAUCCAGGUUUUGGCUGUUAGCACUAUGCAGAUUAAUUGAUCGUUGUAUGACAUUAUUUCACGAGAGCUACAGAGAGCAGAGCAGACGGCUCCUUAUGCUUUCAAAUCGCUGGUGUUGGUGUUAUUCAAUGAUCAGCAGCUUUAACCCUUAUGGGGUCUUCGGGGUCUUUCUGACCCGCAAAUGACAUUUGCUAAAAUUAAAAAUAGGUUUUUAUACAAAAACAGGUUUUUAUGUAAAAUGCACUUUAUAAAAGUCCCACAUUUCUAACUUUGAUUCAUGGGGAUAACAAGGAUAAUUUGACAUGGUUUAGUGUAAGAUUUUUGCCAAUCUUUAAGAAAAAAUGAUCACUUUUACUACUAGAUGGCUGCAGAGCUCCACUAUUUGCUACUUGCUAUUUGAUUAACUAAAAGUUAUCUUUUCUCAAGUUUUUUCAGUUGGAUUCAUACCUACAUAUUCUGAAAUCACAAUAAUAACAAUCAAAAUGAAUUCUUGUCAAAGUUUAGACCUUUUAACCAUUUUUUGUACUGAAAAAAAAAAUUAUUAAUAUCAAUAAUGUUAGAGUAUGAUUAUAGAAUCAAACCUGAACAAGAUGUUAAAGAGA
ensembl:lncRNA